rnacentral:lncRNA from 1 species
UCCAAGCCAAUGUUACUGGAGCAAUAAUUCAUAAGCAUAAUUGAGGAUUGUUAUAAAAUGACCUGGAAUAUGUGCGAAUAUUGAGCUGCACGUAAAGUAGAUGAGACACAUUAUUUAACGAGGUUCGGCUAUGCCUACGUCCCCGGAGAGCAGCAGUAGUAACUUUUCCACUAUGUAAAAUAAUAGGGCUACAACUUUAGAGUUUACAAUAUGUAAGGCUCACUAAAUUUUCUCUCUGCUCACUCACCCUAUUUCUUCCUUCUCUUCCUCUUCUCUGCCUGACUCUCUUUCCUCUUUUCUUUCCUCCUUUCCCUUUCCUCUUCUCUUUCCUUCUUUCCUUUUCUUCUCUCUUUCCUCCUUUCCUUUUCUUCUCUCUUUCCUUCUUUCCUUUUCUUCUCUCCGUUUCCUUUUUCUUUGUUUUCUUUCCUCUUCUUUUUUUUUCUCUUCUCUUUCCGUUUCUCUUCUUAUUUAUAGGCUGAAAUAAUCAUUAUUCAUCACUAUUCACUAUUCACCCGUGACAGACAAACUCUACCAAAAGUCUCCAAAUGAAUAGUAAUGAAUAGUUAGUGGGCUCCACAUGUUUAUUCUUUUACAACACUCCCCCUUGGAGACCACUAAUGAUAUGUCGGUUGUAUCAUUAAAGACUUGCUUGGAGAAAACCUAGUAAGGUAGAGAACUGAUGGAAAGAAGAGUACAACAAUCUGUAUAGCAUACUUCUGGAUGCUCCCCCUGAUUAAUAUCUCCCCCUGAUGUCUUCAUGACUAUCUUUUGGAUUGAGAAUCUUUCUGAGUGAGUGAAUGAUGUAGCCACCAACAAUUCAUAUAGUAAAUAUAUUUCCAGUAAGCUAUCUCUAUGGAAAUCAUAAAAAUUUUCAGAGUCCGCGUUUCCAACAAAACCUGGGCUAUUUGUAAGAUCAUAUGAAAGAAUAUGCCCAUACAUGGUGUUAUGCGGAGAUAGCAUCAAAUAUACCUCACAUCAUCCCAAAAUGAUGGUGAUGGAGUUGAGCCUUAUCUGGAAAAUAUGAUGUCCGGUCCAAUAUACUUCCGGAAAAUCCUUAAAGUGCCCAACGGAUAAUCCUCAUAAUAAUGCUUCAAUACUUUCUCAGUAUAAGCAAGAAUCUCGUUGGCAUAAUGCUCGAUUUUUAAGUCGAGAUAAAUAUUUCUUGAAUUCUGCAGAAUCUUUAAUGUGUUGCAAUCACAUCAAUGUACUCACUGAGGUCAUUUAUGCAUAUUAAUAUUGAGUACAAAUUUUGUGCUUCAAGCACAUGUCCUUUAGGGACUUGCUUUAUGCAAUGUCAAUCCUCUCAACGGAUUUUGUUUAAAAGGGAUUAAACUUUAUGACACAUUAUAUAGCUUUAACCCAGCUAUUUAUACAUCUUUAGGGAAUCAGUUCAGGUGAUAUGCUCUGUGCAUUUAAUAACUCUUAAAGAUAAUAUGUUGGUUUCCGUAAUUGGGUAAUAAGGGGGGCACAAUUGAAUCUGUAAAUAUGGAGAAAACCCAACAUUCCUUGUUUCUGCCAGAAACAUUGUGUCAUACAAAGUAAGUAUAUUCCCUUUUAUUCCGAACACCCAAGUAUAACUUUCAGUAUUGACAAAUUUGGGGUUCGUACUGUGGGUUUGUUCUUUCACGUUCAUUCUCAUUUACAAUGGAAUUACCUCGUUCCAUUUUGGCCAAUAAUAUUGUCGACAUUUAAUAAUUGAACGUGGUUCCAAUCAACACAGCCCAUUGAUGAUUUGAGCAGCUACUCCAAAAUCAAAAAUUGUCAUUCAUCAAUUCAUGAUCUCACCAUUCUCAUGUGCAUGCGCAUGCAUCAAUUAUAAGCAUUUCUUUGCUUUUGGGUACCCAAGCCACUUCAGAGGGCUUUUAUUAUGUGAGAAUGUGGAUUAUAACCUCCAAUGGAGCGUUAUUUUAUAGUAGGGCGUGGAUAAUCUCCAUUUAGGGAGUUGGAACAUUUAGAACCCAUAUAUCUGUCAUGCUGCAGGCAUGCCAUAGAUUAAUACAUACAUGUCAAUUAAUUUAUGGGACUUUAACCCAUAUUAUGGGACUUUAACCCAUAUAAUUUGCUACGCAUUAGGCGUGCAUAAUAUCAAUAUUGACAUGUCAAAGGAUUGUCCUUUCGGGACUUCAAUCCAUAUCAUUUGCUACGCAACAGGCGUGCAUCAUAUUGAUCACUGCUAUACCCAUAUUCUGUUCUUAUGGGACUUUAAUCUGUGCAGUGUAUUAUCAAUGUAUCCAACUUGCAAUCUGUAAAAUUUGCGUUAAUAAUUCAUGGAUACAUACAAGCCAUUCUUUUGGAACGGACUUAUCUCCCAAUUUGGUUACCUUUCAAGAUAAAAUAUCAAAUAGGUAUAUAAGCAUAAAAUAACACAAGUAUUGCUUACAUCCUUAGGUGGGAGAAACUUUUCUCAAGUAUCAUUCAAGCUCGUAUCGGCCCAGUAAAUAUAAAGUAUCGCUUGAUGAUCUUGUUAUAUCCUGCAAGAGCAAAAAUCACAAUUCUCUUCUCUGUCAAAAACAAAUAACUCUCAGAGUUAGGAUCACUGCAUGGAUUCAUUCUUCAGAUGUUCAUUCUAAAGAAAUAAAAUCUCUUAUGAACAGAGAGUUAUAAAAAGAAAGAAAAGAUACAAAAAUUGUGAUAUUGAUUGCAAGGUAAGGUAAGCAAUCAGGAAGGAAGCUGGUGGGAGCAAACAACAAGCUCUCAUUUCUCCUAGUCUAGAAAGACCUCAGGAGAUUGGAGCAUAAGGUCACCUUCACAGUUCCCUAAUGCAGCGGAAACGUGAUCAGGGAUAGUCUCGCUUCCUGAAUGGAUGAUCAGAGAUAGUCUUGCUUCUCGGGCAUAUUGAGUGCUCACUGAUGAGAAAAACAAGUAGAUAUCGCAUCACUAGGUAUGGAGAAAACUAGAUGUCUUCUGCAAAGAAAAUUUCGUUAGUAACACAUUUAUACACAAAUACAAUGAAUAGGUAGAACCGGUGAAUUUCAAAUUAACCAUAGGAAAAUUGCGAGAUUCUCGGGAUGCUUUUGAAAAAGUAGCUCCGUGAAAUCCGUAAAGCAAGAUCGGCUUUGAAAAUAAUACUUGAAAACGCCGAAAGUGCCGACAGGCAUUAUUAGAGGCCACGUGAAGUUUUGGACUCUGGGAAAGAAAAAGAUAAUAUGGGGAUUCGAGAAGAUAUUGGGGUCCUAAAAAACAGUAGCCAUAUUUCCUCCUAUAGAUAUGGCCUUUGCAAAACUUGAUUGGAGCAACUGCGUUUCAACUCAAAUUUCUUCAUUUUCUGAAACUUUAGUUUUCCUGAGACUGUCUUCGAAACCUUCUUAAAAAUGGCUUCCUCUUCUUCCUGCCCAAAUUAUUUCAAUUUAAAUGAUGCUCCCACAACUACCAAUGAUGCCCAAGUUUGGCGUCCAUCCUUUGUAUCCCAAAAUCGUCAUCUCACAGUUAAUGAUUCUGUGAUGAUGAAUGAUGCUACUGCUGUCAUAGUAGCUAGGAAUUUCAUUACUCCAAUGGAUGAAAUGCUGUUAACAGGGAGGUCUGAGGAAGAGGCUAUUGAUGACUCAAUGGCUUUUAGCAUUCAGAGUGCUGCUUCUGUUUCUAACAUGGGUGAUCGUUUGCGUGCUAGAGCAAACGAGGUUGAGAAGCUGACAACUGAAAAUUCGUCUCUUCAAAGAAUGCUUCAUGAGUCUCAACAGGAGGUUGAGAAACUUAAAGGAGAGAAUAAUUCCUUGUUGAAACUGGUGAGUUCGUACUCCGUUGAUACACUGAGAAGGCUAGACAUGCUGCAGGUCUCCAAUGAAAGAAUUUUGGGAGACCACGAGAAGCUCAUGGCCAAGCUUAAGAGGCGCCGUACUCUUCCUUCAGAGGUUUCCAGAACAUAAUGUAAUUUUAUAGAUUUUACAAGGCCUGCACCUUCAUUGCAGGUAGAAAAAAAAAUCUAUCUGUUGUAUGUUCCUGUAAUAAUAAUUGCGCACAUUCUUAAACUUGCACCUGUGGUUUUUACGUCUUUUCAAAAUGACGGUUUGGAACAUUGUGCCUUAUAGGUUCAAAUAACCACAUUGUCUCUCCCAAAUUGCAUGGUAGCCCGGAACUUUUGGCCUGGGCACAAACUCAGAAUUUAUUUGCCCUUUUCAAAUGGACAUGAAAUGUGAAUUGAGUAAAAGCCAUGAUAAUAUCGCAAUAUAGUAGUGAAGAGCAUUAACUACUAUAUACCCACAACUUCAAGUUUAGGAUCUCUCAUAUAUUUGGAUCCAUGGGCUUCCGGCCCAGAUAUAACAAAAUAUGUGGGGAGCCUCAAUUCAUUAUUUGAGGUUUAUAUUGAUAUUAUCCAUUUCGCGGUGUAUUCUUAACAACCGGAAUUCACAAAAUAUAUUUCUUCCUUGAGGUGUCGAUUAUAACAAAAUCGAACUUUAAAUUCAUCAUCUUCUUAUGCCAAAGAAAUAUGUGGCAUACCACAAUUUGCAAUAAUACAUCAAGGGUUGUCCAUUUAAUUGUUGGAACUUCAGGUUCUCAACACUGUUAAAUUUUGAACUUCAGGCCAAAGCCACAUAUUCUCAUGGUAUGGACAUUUUUACAAUUUUCUGUACAUAUUUCGGGACUUCAAGCCCUUACAUAAUUGUCCAUAUUUUGAGGAACUUCUGGCAUCUCAUUUAAUUGCUCAUCCAUGAGUUUAAGGAACUGCAGGUUCCCUUUUGUAUAUAGUGACGGUUUACCCAAAAUGGUUCAUAUUUAUGCAUACGUCACUAUUCAUGUGAAUAGUACUAUUCAUCAAGUCAUGAAUACGUAUCUAUUCAUCUGCCAGUACAGUUAUCAUCAAUGUGUACGGCACUAUGAAACUGCAGGUUCCCUUUUGUAUAUAGUGACGGUUUACCCAAAAUGGUUCAUAUUUAUGCAUACGUCACUAUUCAUGUGAAUAGUACUAUUCAUCAAGUCAUGAAUACGUAUCUAUUCAUCUGCCAGUACAGUUAUCAUCAAUGUGUACGGCACUAUGAACCAAUACGGUACUGUUACAUCAUUAAGGAACUCUAGGUCCUUAUUUACAUGUCAGGGAUCAAGGACCCUUAAUUUCGAUCACAUGUUUACAAAUACAGUACCGGAGAGACUGCCAGCUCUCAUAUUAAUAUCAUCAUCAAGGAUCUUUAAGUCCUGAUGUAAUUGUAUGAUGAGGAUCAAGGAACUUCUGGUCCUGAUCUGCAUACUGUAAAAACUCAUCAUACAGCACAAUUAAUCCAUAAAAAAAAUUACUGAUAAAUAAAUUACUGGUAUGGACGAUAAACCCGCACCAUACAUUUAAAUAAAAGUAAAGGCGUGGACGAUAAACCCGCACCACCCUUUUAAAUAAAUGUAAAUGUGCAGUAAAUUAAAUUCAUAAAUUAAAUUGCUUGCUGUAUGGACGUUAAUCUCGCACCAUACCUUAAAUAAAUUAAAAACUUGCUGUAUGGACGUUAAUCCCGCACCAUACCUUAAAUAAAAUUAAAUGUGCGAUAAAGUAAACGUGCUUGUAUGGGCACUAAUUCUGCUCCAUACAUUUAAAUAAAAGCAAAGGCGUGGGCGAUAAACCCGCACCACCCUUUUAAAUAAAUAUUGUUGUAUGGGUAAUAAACCUACACCAUACAGUAAAUAAAAUAAAUGUGGGAAUAAAAACCACCACUGAACAAGAUAAGGAAAGUGUUAGUAUUAGUAACGGUCUCCCACUGAUAAUAUGUUUAGUAUUACCAAGGGUCCAUUUUUGUUAAUGGUUAGUAAUAGAAAAGCAGAUAAAUAUAGUAUAUUAUAUUACCAUCAACUUUUCAUAUAUAUAAUAUAUAUAUAUAUAUUGUACUGAUAUAUUAGUAGAAAGCUAGAUGCGUUAGCUUUUCUUCUUUACAUCAACAUAAUGGUUAGUAGUAUAAAUAAUAGUGCAGCACAAAAAUUAUACCUGAGAGCUUCUCGUGCUGAUAACGUGUUAUAAAAUGACCUGGAAUAUGUGCGAAUAUUGAGCUGCACGUAAAGUAGAUGAGACACAGUAUUUAACGAGGUUCGGCUAUGCCUACGUCCCCGGAGAGCAGCAGUAGUAACUUUUCCACUAUGUAAAAUAAUAGGGCUACAACUUUAGAGUUUACAAUAUGUAAGGCUCACUGAAUUUUCUCUCUGCUCACUCACCCUAUUUCUUCCUUCUCUUCCUCUUCUCUGCCUGACUCUCUUUCCUCUUUUCUUUCCUCCUUUCCCUUUCCUCUUCUCUUUCCUUCUUUCCUUUUCUUCUCUCUUUCCUUCUUUCCUUUUCUUCUCUCUUUCCUUCUUUCCUUUUCUUCUCUCCGUUUCCUUUUUCUUUGUUUUCUU